rnacentral:rRNA from 1 species
AGUGAACGCUGGCGGUAGGCCUAACACAUGCAAGUCGAACGGCAGCACAGUAAGAGCUUGCUCUUACGGGUGGCGAGUGGCGGACGGGUGAGGAAUACAUCGGAAUCUACUUUUUCGUGGGGGAUAACGUAGGGAAACUUACGCUAAUACCGCAUACGACCUACGGGUGAAAGCAGGGGAUCUUCGGACCUUGCGCGAUUGAAUGAGCCGAUGUCGGAUUAGCUAGUUGGCGGGGUAAAGGCCCACCAAGGCGACGAUCCGUAGCUGGUCUGAGAGGAUGAUCAGCCACACUGGAACUGAGACACGGUCCAGACUCCUACGGGAGGCAGCAGUGGGGAAUAUUGGACAAUGGGCGCAAGCCUGAUCCAGCCAUACCGCGUGGGUGAGGAAGGCCUUCGGGUUGUAAAGCCCUUUUGUUGGGAAGGAAAAGCAGCAGGUUAAUACCCCGCUGUUCUGACGGUACCCAAAGAAUAAGCACCGGCUAACUUCGUG